CGCUGGCGGCGUGUUCACUCAUGAAAGUAGAAAGAACCUUCGGGUUAGUGGCGGACGGGUGAGUAACGUUUUACACCUGCCCUCAGGAGAAAGAUAACGGUUGGAAACGACCGCUAAUACCCCAUAUGCCGAGAGGUGAAAAGAAAUUCGCCUGAGGAUGAGCUCGCGUCUGAUUAGCUAGUUGGUGUGGUAAUGGCGCACCAAGGCUUCUAUCAGUANCUGGUCUGAGAGGAUGAUCAGCCACACUGGGACUGAGACACGGUCCGGACUCCUACGGGAGGCA
rnacentral:rRNA from 1 species